rnacentral:rRNA from 1 species
UACGGAGGGGGCUAGCGUUGUUCGGAAUUACUGGGCGUAAAGCGCGCGUAGGCGGACCUGCAAGUCGGGGGUGAAAGCCCGAGGCUCAACCUCGGAACUGCCUUCGAUACUGCGGGUCUCGAGUCCGGGAGAGGUGAGUGGAAUUCCUAGUGUAGAGGUGAAAUUCGUAGAUAUUAGGAAGAACACCAGUGGCGAAGGCGGGUCUCUGGGCAGUAACUGACGCUGAGGAGCGAAAGCGUGGGGAGCGAACAGG